rnacentral:rRNA from 1 species
UAUAAAAAAAUCUUUGGUUGGGGCAACCACGAAGAAAAAUUAACCUUCGUUCUUUAAAAAAAUAAACAAAUUUAAAAUUUAUAAUUUUGACCCAGAAAAUCUGAAAAUAGAAAAAAGUUACCGCAGGGAUAACAGCGUUAUUUUCUUUAAGAGCUCUUAUUGACAAGAAAGUUUGCGACCUCGAUGUUGGACCGGGGUAUCCAAGAGGUGCAAAAGCCUCUAAUGGUGGGUCUGUUCGACCUUUAAAACCCUACGUGAUCUGAGUUCAGACCGACGUAAGUCAGGUCAGUUUCUAUCUA